UUGACGGUACCCUACUAGAAAGGAGCCGCUAACUUCGUGCCAGAAGCGUCGGUAAUACGGGGGCUCCAAGCGUUAUCCGGUGUUAUUGGGCGUAAAGAGUCGUGUAGGUGGUUGGGUAAGUUAUCUUUCAAAUAUCUUUGCUUAACAAAGAGGAGGGGGAUAAUACUGCUCGACUAGAAUUUUCUCAAGGGAGAUCGGAACUGAGGGAGGAGUAGUGAAAUGCGUUGAUACCCUCGGGAACACCAGUGGCGUAGGCGGAUCUCUGGGAGAAGAUUGACACUGAGACACGAAAGCUAGGGGAGCGAAGCAGAUUAGAGACCUGCGUAGUCCUAGCCGUAAACGCAUGCUUGCUAGCUGCAUGAAUCUACCUUCGGGUGGUAUCGUGUGGCGAAGGUAACCCGUUAAGCAAGCCGCCUGGAAAGUACGGCCGCAAGGCUGAAAUUCAAAGGAAUUGGCGGGGAGGCACCCAACCAGUGGAACAUGUGGUUUAAUUCGAGACUAACCGAAGAACCUCACCAGGGUUUGACAUGUAGCUGCACGUCUUAAGAAAUUAAGACUCUCUUGAAGGUGCUACACAGGUGCUGCAUGGCUGUCGUCAGCUCGUUCCGUGAGGAGUGCCCUUAAGUGGGACAACGAGCGCAACCCCUAUUACAUGUUAGAAAUGUCAUGUAAGACUGCCUUGCCAUUUGGCGGGGAGGAAGGAGGGGCAGACGUCAAGUCCGCAUGGUCCUUAUGCCCUGGGCUACACACAUGUUACAAUGAGUACGGCAAUGAGUCUGUCGCGAGCACGUAAGUGUAAGCUAAUCUCUUAAAUGUACUCUCAGUGGGGAUUGAGGUCUGCAACUCGACCUCAUGAACACGGAAUUGGUAGUAAUCGCGGGUCAGCUAUACCGCGGUGAAAUACGUUCUUGCCUCUUGCACACACCGCCCGUCAAACCAGCAAAGU
rnacentral:rRNA from 1 species